AAAGAGCAUCAUAUCUGUGAUGUUUAGUAUGGAAACCAUUGAAAUGCUGUCGUUCUAUAACAGUACCAUAGUGGAUGUCUGUGAAUGUUUCUCCCGGGGUUUUGAUAAUAGUUAUAACUGGUUGUUGGAACCACAUUUAUCUGAGAAGUUGCUAUGUAGCUCAAGGAUCACAGCAAAUUUAUGUUGGGUGGUUGCUGGAGAUGUUAAUGAAAAGCACUUAUAUCAGAAAGCAGACGACUUUAAGCUUUCAUUUUAUCUGUAUGUUUCAUGUAGCAUUUUGAAUCAGAUGCAUUUAAAGAAGUUACAUGGAGGAUUGAAGUUCUUUUUUAUGUGUCUUGAAAGGUUUGAAAGAAUCUUGAAAAAAAUCUCACUUCUUCAGCCUGAACAAAUAUUUUUUUCUAUCAAAUCGUCUCUGUAAGUCUCUUCAGUUUUCCCCUGAAGUGAAUAGCUAGGCUGUAGGAGUAGGAACCUUUCACGGCAUUUUGGAAUGGAAAGCAUUUUGGGAGAAUGGUCAAGUGGAAAGUAUGCUAAGAGAAUUGAUCACUUUAAUUGAUCAUGGAGUUGGCAUAUAUUGUGUGUACGCUUAGCACAGUUUAAUAACCAGAGACUUUGCGAACUCUUCCUUUGUUUCUGACACUAUGUCUCCUUGGGGCAUUGGCCUAAUACCACACAUAGAUACAGCUAGUCCCUGCACCCAUGGAGAUCACUUCACUGAAUCUGAGGUAUACGUUGGGUUUUUGUUUUUCCUCUAUGUAUAUAUAUAAAAACCCUGCCUGAAAAUUUUGGUUGAUGCAAUUAUUGCAGAACUGAGCCUCACAGUAAUAUUUCAUUGCUGACUCUGACAGCUGUGAAAAAAAGGUGUGAUUAGUUCACAAAUACAUAAUGUGACUGGGCUGUGGAAAAUUCUGUUUGCUGGCUGUGGAAAAUUCUAUUUGCUCAUACAAAUCUCAAAACUCAAGCAAUAAAAAUAUUGCUCCUCUAUGUUCUGUUAUUGGGGCAAAAAAAUCUUCAAGUGCAACUGAUACGCUUUCUCAAAGGCGGGCACAUACAAAAAAGAGUCAAAGUGGGAUGAUUUGGGGAAUUUGACCCUUCCAGAGCUGCGGAGGUUUAUUGUGCCGUGCUUUCUGUGACAGGAGGCCCAGUAGUGCUGAAGAGUUUCACUUCUUUGCUCUUAGAAGACUUCAGAAGUCUUCCCAUACAGUAGUUUACUGUAUCUAGCUUGCUGGGUAUGAAUGAGAUAGGUAGUUCAAAAGAUUUAUGUGAACAUCCUUAUAAGAAUGUUUCUCAAACUUUGCAUUUGGCCUUCCUAAAACAAAUUGGAUUUUUUUUCCCCCCUCUGACUCAGAUCUUUCUUACAAUGAAAUUAAUCAAAGUACUACUUUACAACACACAGAACAGGCCAGAGCUGAAAUUUCACAGACUGACUCCUCCUGGUGCUUUAAAUAUUAUUGCUAAGUGCACCACUUGGCAGGGGGAAAAAAAAAAAAGCAAAAGCGUCUUUAAAAAAUUGUUCUGGGCAAGCAGAAGUAAUUUUUUCUGUACCUCAUGACCAGAAUGCAAUGAAGAUAGAAGAAUUCUUUCCUUAAAUUAACUAAACAAGUGCUAACUUGCCUAGAGUUAUUGUGGUAGCUUGUCUGGUUACUCAGAGCCAACACUGAUGUUUUAAAAGAUUGAACUCUUAUUCUGUGUAGUCAACAACAAUAUUUUUAAGCCUUAAAUGUGCUUGGUUUUUAACUAGAGAAGACUGCUGGCAAUAUGGAGUCAUCAUUUUAAAAGUAGAAGAUAUGAUAUCACAAUUCCAGAAGCACCCAGUGCAGCAGAUUCUCCAAUGGUGUUUACAAGGUCAUCCUGAGAGGAAAUGUGGAAAGGAUGAUACUAAUGUCUCCAGUUUUCCCAGUCAAUGACAGCCAAUCCAAACUGUUCAUCUGAAGGAAUAUAGAACUGGAUGUCUUCUUUGGCUUUUUUCAAAUGAUUCUCCAGCAGUGAGAGUUGGGGGAGUCCUCCAUUGAACGCCUCUC